AAAGGACAUCAACCGAGACUCCGCAAGUAGUGGCGAGCGAACGCGGACCAGGCCAGUGGCAAUGAUGAAUAAAGCGGAACGAUUUGGAAAAGUCGGCCAUAGAGGGUGAUAGCCCCUUACGCGUAGAACAGUCAUUGUCCUUGAGUAGGGCGGGACACGUGAAAUCCUGUCUGAACAUGGGGAGACCACUCUCCAAGCCUAAGUACUCGUGCAUGACCGAUAGCGAACAAGUACCGUGAGGGAAAGGUGAAAAGCACCCCGACGAGGGGAGUGAAAUAGAACCUGAAACCGGAUGCCUACAAACAGUCGGAGCCCGCAAGGGUGACGGCGUACCUUUUGUAUAAUGGGUCAACGACUUAGUGUAACUAGCAAGCUUAAGCCGGUAGGUGUAGGCGCAGCGAAAGCGAGUGUUAAUAGCGCGACAUAGUUAGUUGCAUUAGACCCGAAACCGAGUGAUCUAGCCAUGAGCAGGCUGAAGGUUGGGUAACACCAACUGGAGGGCCGAACCCAUAACUGUUGCAAUAGUUCGGGAUGACUUGUGGCUAGGGGUGAAAGGCCAAUCAAACUCGGAAAUAGCUGGUUCUCCGCGAAAUCUAUUUAGGUAGAGCGUCGACCUUAUACCCUCGGGGGUAGAGCACUGGAUGGGCUAUGGGGACUCACCGUCUUACUGAUCCUAACCAAACUCCGAAUACCGAGGAGUACUAGUCGGCAGACACACGGCGGGUGCUAACGUCCGUCGUGAAAAGGGCAACAACCCUGACCUCCAGCUAAGGUCCCCAAGUCAUGGCUAAGUGGGAAAGGAUGUGAGGAUCCCAAAACAACCAGGAUGUUGGCUUAGAAGCAGCCAUCAUUUAAAGAAAGCGUAACAGCUCACUGGUCUAAAUAAGGGUCUUUGCGCCGAAAAUGUAACGGGGCUAAAGCCAUGCACCGAAGCUGAGGAUUUGCACUUUGUGCAAGUGGUAGCGGAGCGUUCCGUAAGUCUGUGAAGGGGUACCUGUGAGGGGCCCUGGAGAUAUCGGAAGUGCGAAUGUUGACAUGAGUAACGAUAAAGGGAGUGAGAGACUCCCUCGCCGAAAGACCAAGGGUUCCUGCUUAAAGUUAAUCUGAGCAGGGUUAGCCGGCCCCUAAGACGAGGCGGACACGCGUAGUCGAUGGGAACCACGUUAAUAUUCGUGGGCCUGGUGGUAGUGACGGAUCUCGUGUGUUGUUCAACCUUAUUGGAUUGGUUGGGCGGCGAAGAGGUUCCAGGAAAUAGCUCCACCGUAUAGACCGUACCCGAAACCGACACAGGUGGUCAGGUAGAGUAUACCAAGGCGCUUGAGAGAACUAUGUUGAAGGAACUCGGCAAAUUGCACGCGUAACUUCGGAAGAAGCGUGACCCUUUUGUACGCAAGUAUGAUGGGGUGGCACAGACCAGGGGGUAGCGACUGUUUAUCAAAAACACAGGGCUCUGCGAAGUAGCAAUACGACGUAUAGGGUCUGACGCCUGCCCGGUGCUGGAAGGUUAAAGGGAGGGGUGCAAGCUCUGAACUGAAGCCCCAGUAAACGGCGGCCGUAACUAUAACGGUCCUAAGGUAGCGAAAUUCCUUGUCGGGUAAGUUCCGACCUGCACGAAUGGCGUAACGACUUCCCCGCUGUCUCCAACAUAGACUCAGUGAAAUUGAAUUCCCCGUGAAGAUGCGGGGUUCCUGCGGUCAGACGGAAAGACCCCGUGCACCUUUACUAUAGCUUUACACUGGCAUUCGCCAAGGCAUGUGUAGGAUAGGUGGUAGGCUUUGAAGCAGGGACGCCAGUUUCUGUGGAGCCAUCCUUGAAAUACCACCCUUAUCUUCGUGGAUGUCUAACCGCGGUCCGUUAUCCGGAUCCGGGACAGUGUAUGGUGGGUAGUUUGACUGGGGCGGUCGCCUCCGAAAGAGUAACGGAGGCGCGCGAUGGUUAGCUCAGACCGGUCGGAAAUCGGUCGUCGAGUGCAAUGGCAUAAGCUAGCCUGACUGCGAGACUGACAAGUCGAGCAGAGACGAAAGUCGGUCAUAGUGAUCCGGUGGUCCCGUGUGGAAGGGCCAUCGCUCAACGGAUAAAAGGUACGCCGGGGAUAACAGGCUGAUGACCCCCAAGAGUCCAUAUCGACGGGGUUGUUUGGCACCUCGAUGUCGACUCAUCGCAUCCUGGGGCUGGAGCAGGUCCCAAGGGUAUGGCUGUUCGCCAUUUAAAGCGGUACGUGAGUUGGGUUCAGAACGUCGUGAGACAGUUCGGUCCCUAUCUGCCGUGGGUGUAGGAAUAUUGACAGGAUCUGUCCCUAGUACGAGAGGACCGGGAUGGACGUAUCUCUGGUGGAUCUGUUGUCCUGCCAAGGGCAUAGCAGAGUAGCUAUAUACGGAAUGGAUAACCGCUGAAGGCAUCUAAGCGGGAAACCAACCUGAAAACGAGUGUUCCCUAUCAGAGCCGUGGAAGACGACCACGUCGAUAGGACGGGUGUGGAAGCACAGCAAUGUGUGAAGCUUACCGUUACUAAUAGCUCGAUCGACUUCUUCGUUCCCAUU
rnacentral:rRNA from 1 species